rnacentral:lncRNA from 1 species
UCCUACCUCAGCCUCCCAAGUGCUGGAAUUACAGGUGUGUGCCAUCACGUCUUGCUUGUGGGAAGUUUCUGAAGGGUCUUACUUGCCUGUGGCUUUCCAAUCGACUUUUCUUUUGAAUCUGUGGCAAGGGAGGCGCUCACACCACUGAGCUAAAUCAGCCCGUCAGCAGUAUUUUGUGCCAAGAAGCAUUGAGCCUCUGCAACCACGCACUGCUACUGCUAGCCUUACUGUGCCUAGU